rnacentral:rRNA from 1 species
CACGUAGGGCGCGAGCGUUGUCCGGAAUUAUUGGGCGUAAAGAGCUCGUAGGCGGCCUGUUGCGUCCGCUGUGAAAGCCCGGGGCUUAACCCCGGGUCUGCAGUGGAUACGGGCAGGCUAGAGGUAGGUAGGGGAGAAUGGAAUUCCCGGUGUAGCGGUGAAAUGCGCAGAUAUCGGGAGGAACACCGGUGGCGAAGGCGGCUUCCUGGACCAGAGCUGACACUGAGGCGCGAAAGCGUGGGGAGCGAUCCGG